rnacentral:rRNA from 1 species
UACGGAGGAGGCAAGCGUUAUCCGGAAUUAUUGGGCGUAAAGCGUCCGCAGGUGGCUAUUCAAGUCUGCGGUCAAAGACUGGGGCUUAACCCUGGAAAGGCCGUGGAAACUGAAGAGCUAGAGUGCAGUAGGGGUAGAGGGAAUUCCCGGUGUAGCGGUGAAAUGCGUAGAGCUCGGGAAGAACAUCGGUGGCGAAAGCGCUCUGCCGGACUGCAACUGACACUCAGGGACGAAAGCUAGGGGAGCGAAUGGG